rnacentral:rRNA from 1 species
UGACGACCAUAGCAUUGUGGACCCACCUGAUUCCAUGCCGAACUCAGAAGUGAAACGCAAUAGCGCCGAUGGUAGUGUGGGGCUUCCCCAUGUGAGAGUAGGACAUCGUCAGGCU